rnacentral:rRNA from 1 species
GUGGGGAAUAUUGGACAAUGGGCGAAAGCCUGAUCCAGCCAUGCCGCGUGUGUGAAGAAGGUCUUCGGAUUGUAAAGCACUUUAAGUUGGGAGGAAGGGCAGUAAGUUAAUACCUUGCUGUUUUGACGUUACCGACAGAAUAAGCACCGGCUAACUUCGUGCCAGCAGCCGCGGUAAUACGAAGGGUGCAAGCGUUAAUCGGAAUUACUGGGCGUAAAGCGCGCGUAGGUGGUUCAGUAAGUUGGAAGUGAAAUCCCCGGGCUCAACCUGGGAACUGCUUUCAAAACUGCUGAGCUAGAGUACGGUAGAGGGUGGUGGAAUUUCCUGUGUAGCGGUGAAAUGCGUAGAUAUAGGAAGGAACACCAGUGGCGAAGGCGACCACCUGGACUGAUACUGACACUGAGGUGCGAAAGCGUGGGGAGCAAACAGGAUUAGAUACCCCGGUAGUCC